rnacentral:rRNA from 1 species
AGAGUUUGAUCCUGGCUCAGGACGAACGCUGGCGGCGUGCCUAACACAUGCAAGUCGAGCGGGGAUGUGGAUUAGCUUGCUAAGAAGCAUUCUAGCGGCGGACGGGUGAGUAACGCGUGAGCAACCUGCCUCAAACAGGGGGAUAACGCAUCGAAAGAUGUGCUAAUACCGCGUAAGACCACAGCUUCACAUGGAGCAGAGGUCAAAGGAGCAAUCCGGUUUGAGAUGGGCUCGCGUCCGAUUAGCUAGUUGGUGAGAUAACAGCCCACCAAGGCGACGAUCGGUAGCCGACCUGAGAGGGUGAUCGGCCACAUUGGAACUGAGAUACGGUCCAGACUCCUACGGGAGGCAGCAGUGGGGAAUAUUGGGCAAUGGGCGAAAGCCUGACCCAGCAACGCCGCGUGAGGGAAGAAGGGUUUCGGCUCGUAAACCUCUGUCCUAUGGGACGAAGGAAGUGACGGUACCAUAGGAGGAAGCCCCGGCUAACUACGUGCCAGCAGCCGCGGUAAUACGUAAGGGGCGAGCGUUGUCCGGAAUGAUUGGGCGUAAAGGGCGCGUAGGCGGCCUGCUAAGUCUGGAGUGAAAGUCCUGCUUUCAAGGUGGGAAUUGCUUUGGAUACUGGUAGGCUGGAGUGCAGGAGAGGAAAGCGGAAUUACCGGUGUAGCGGUGAAAUGCGUAGAGAUCGGUAGGAACACCAGUGGCGAAGGCGGCUUUCUGGACUGUAACUGACGCUGAGGCGCGAAAGCGUGGGGAGCAAACAGGAUUAGAUACCCUGGUAGUCC